CCUACGGGAGGCAGCAGUGGGGAAUAUUGGGCAAUGGGCGAAAGCCUGACCCAGCAACGCCGCGUGAAGGAAGAAGGCUUUCGGGUUGUUAACUUCUUUUGACAGGGAAGAGCAGAAGACGGUACCUGUCGACUACGCCACGGCUAACUACGUGCCAGUAGCCGCGGUAAUACGUAGGUGGCAAGCGUUGUCCGGAUUUACUGGGUUUAAAGGGCGUGUAUCCGGGCUGACAAGUCAGAUGUGAAAUCCGGGGGCUCAACCCCCGAACUGCAUUUGAAACUGUUGGUCUUGAGUAUCGGAGAAGCAGGCGGAAUUCCUAGUGUAGCGGUGAAAUGCGUAGAUAUUAGGAGGAACACCAGUGGCGAAGGCGGCCUGCUGGACGACAACUGACGGUGAGGCGCGAAAGCGUGGGGAGCAAACAGGAUUAGAUACCCGAGUAGUC
rnacentral:rRNA from 1 species